rnacentral:rRNA from 1 species
ACUCCUACGGGAGGCAGCAGUGGGGAAUAUUGCACAAUGGGCGCAAGCCUGAUGCAGCCAUGCCGCGUGUGUGAAGAAAGGCCUUCGGGUUGUAAAGCACUUUCAGUCGUGAGGAAGGUAGUGUAGUUAAUAGCUGCAUUAUUUGACGUUAGCGACAGAAGAAGCACCGGCUAACUCCGUGCCAGCAGCCGCGGUAAUACGGAGGGUGCGAGCGUUAAUCGGAAUUACUGGGCGUAAAGCGCAUGCAGGUGGUUUGUUAAGUCAGAUGUGAAAGCCCGGGGCUCAACCUCGGAAUAGCAUUUGAAACUGGCAGGACUAGAGUACUGUAGAGGGGGGUAGAAUUUCAGGUGUAGCGGUGAAAUGCGUAGAGAUCUGAAGGAAUACCGGUGGCGAAGGCGGCCCCCUGGACAGAUACUGACACUCAGAUGCGAAAGCGUGGGGAGCAAACAGGAUUAGAUACCCUGGUAGGAUAGCG